GGGGGGGAGGGGCGGCGAGGCGAGGCCUGCGGAGCGGACUUCCUAGCAUGGGCUGUUGUGCUGGAGAGAACGAGAGCUACGAAGAGACUACAGUGCCUCUGACUUUUUCAUAGGACAGUUGGCCGAGGAAGACAAACAUAAAGAUGAAGUGCUUAAUUCAAGGUCACACAAUGUCGGGGAUGGACCUCCAGAUUUCCUUACUGACCUGCAUUAUCUUGUGGAUACCUGAGUGAAUUCCACACCACCCAUUUUAUAGAUGAAACCACUGAGACAUGGAGCAAUUGACUGAGUAGUCACUGCCCCACCCCUGCCUGGAGCCUCACACAUGACUCGCCUCCUCUCAGUGACCACAGGUGAGACGUGGUCUUGUAACACAGUGGUUAAGAAUGUGACUUUGGAGCCAGCCUGCUAGGGGCUGAAUUCUGACUCAGCCAUUUACUAACUGUGUGACCUUAGGGAGGAGGACCUGGUUGAUAGAAGAAUUUAUCUCGUAGUCUUAACAUCCACUGUAAUUCCAAACUUUGAGGACGAUAGAGAUCAGUGGGCUUUGACUGCCCAGCAUGCAGUCUCCAUUCUUAGGUGGGUUCCCAAGCCUGUAAAAUGUAAGCCUUAUGCUGCUGAGGGCCAUCUUGCCACCCUGAGGGAAACGCUGCCUGAGAAUGAAACAAGCAUAAGUAAAAGCUGAGCUGUGAGAUGGAGCAAGAUGAAGGCCACAUGACAUCUUUGGAGCACCUGGAUCUAACUGUGCCUUAAGCUAGUCUAACCCUGAACAUUUCAUCAUUUCAUUGACAUGAGCCCAGGUUUUCUUUUUUUUUGGAUGGAGUCUUGCUCUGUCGCCCAGGCUGGAGUGCAGUAGCUCAAUCUCGGCUCACUGCAAGCUCCACCUCCCGGGUUCACGCCAUUCUCCUGCCUUAGCCUCCCAAGUAGCUGGGACAACAGGCGCCCACCACCACUCCCAGCUAAUUUUUUGUAUUUUUAGUAGAGACGGGGUUUUACCAUGUUAGCCGGGAUGGUCUUGAUCUCCUGACCUCAUGAUCCGCCCGCCUCGGCCUCCCAAAGUGCUGGGAUUACAGGUGUGAGCCACUGCACCCAGCCCUCAGGUUUUCCCUUUUUUUACCCCUCCUUUUGAAAAUUUGAUGUGGAAUUUUGCCACCUGCAGCCAGAAGAGUUUUAACUAAUCAGUGCCAUAAAUUUUAUAUAGUUCUCCUUGCAAAAUGUGGAUCAGCCUUUCUCAGCAAAUCCUUUGUCAUAAAGUGCUGAAUUGUAAGUUUGUCAUGAGAAUCACAUGAGAUCAUGCAUGUGAAGAACCUGGCAUUAUCCUCCUCAUAGAAAAAAACCAGUAAAUAUUAACUACAGGAAGCAAGGAAGGAGUGGGGUGAGGGGAAGAAGAAGGGGUACUGAUUUAAAAGAACCCUGGAGUCCUAAGGAUAAUCUAGGAACCCUCAGACCCAAUCCGAUACCCCUAUUCUAAAUGCUCCUAGUGCCCUGUACCUUCCCCUCAUAAGCCUUCAUUAUCAUUGUAAUGAUAUGUUUAUGUAAUAUUUUGAUUAAUGUCUCUCCUUCACUGACCUAGCAGUUCUAGCAGGGCAGUGAUUUUGCUGUGUUGCAUCCCCAGCACCUAGUCUGGUAUGUGGCAUUCAGCAUAUGUUUAUUGAAUGAAUGGCCAUGUGGUUAUUCAGAUCCUCCUUGAUUAUUGGGGUUAGGAUUGUGGCAGAAGUGGCAAAAUCAGGGAGAGUAGUCCCUGUCCCCUCUGUAUCUUAUACACUGCCCACACUCCCAACACACAUACACAUACAGAGAAUUUUGUCUCAAUUAGAUAAUUAACUUCUGCUUGGUUGUAAACCAAACCACUGGUUCUUAAACUUUCAUUGGAUCAUUUUAUUGAAGAAUUAAAUAGUGUGGUUCUGGCCUAAUGUCUGGAAAGCCUUGCAGAGGAGUGGAUUAGGUCUUUGUGAUAAACAGGCAGCCUUCCCUGCUCCUGUGUCUUUAUAAAAUCUAUUUAACUGGAGUAGUCCACCCUCCCUCAGGCUCUUACAGGAAUAUGUUGGAGGCUGUAGGAAGGUGGGAAACCGAGAGGGAAAGGACUGGGCCGCUGGAGACUUCACUCAUUCCCUAGCAAGAAACAAAAGCAGUAAAAGGUGGCCCGAGGACAACCUGAAGCUCACUCCUUCAGCACUUUUGGCUGGAGGUCACUUGUUGGAGCCCCACUCAGAGCUCAGCACACCACCCCACCAGCAGCCUCCUCCUCCCAGCUGAGGCUGCAUUUCAUCCCUUCCCCCAGCCUGCUUUCCCUGAGAUAGGGGAGUGUUUCCCAGGGCCCAUGUGACUUCCACUGGCAAGUGACGAUUACCAAUGGUUUACUAGUCAGUGAAACUACCAAAGGCUUUUGUGCUGUAGUAAUCCUUUUCCUGUUUAAAACUCUGGGGAUUUUCUAAUGUUGCCAAUAGUUUUUCAAGUCAGCAAUUACUGUGUGGAUUAUGUAAUGGCUCGGUAUUAAAAAUAGAAAAGACUGGA
ensembl:lncRNA PCBP1-AS1 PCBP1 antisense RNA 1